ACCGCUGCCAAUCUAUCUACCGCUGCCAACCUACCUACCACUGCUAAUCUAUCGCUGCUAAUCUAUCACUGCCAAUCUAUAUAGGGUAAAUCAUGGUCCCAUUUGGUCCCAUUUUGUAAAAUGGGAUCAAAUGGGACUGAGACCACUAAUUUAUUAGUAAAACAUGAUCUGAGACUAGAUUUAUAAUAUAAACAGUGUAAAGUGACUAAUUUACUAAACACUAUAUGGGACCAGGACU
rnacentral:sRNA from 2 species